rnacentral:rRNA from 1 species
CCUACGGGGGGCUGCAGUCGAGAAGCUUCGGCAAUGGGCGAAAGCCUGACCGAGCGACGCCGCGUGAGCGAAGAAGGCCCUAUGGGUUGUAAAGCUCUGUCAGAUUGGGAAGAAAACCUCGUGAUUAAUACCUGCGAGGCUUGACGGUACCAUCAGAGGAAGCACCGGCUAACCCCGUGCCAGCAGCCGCGGUAAUACGGGGGGUGCAAGCGUUGUUCGGAUUCACUGGGUAUAAAGGGUGCGCAGGCGGCCUGUUAAGUCAGAGGUGAAAUCUGUCGGCUCAACCGACAGACUGCCCCUGAAACUGACAGGCUUGAGUCCGGGAGAGGAAGGUGGAAUUCCAGGUGUAGCGGUGAAAUGCGUAAAUAUCUGGAGGAACACCGGUGGCGAAGGCGGCCUUCUGGCCCGGAACUGACGCUGAGGCACGAAAGCUAGGGGAGCGAACGGGCUUAGAUACCCCUGUAGUC